CAGCAGCAGGAUAUGAAGAAAGAAAAAUCAUAGCGAGAGGGGUGAAAACUCAUAUGCACAAGAAGUACAAUCACAACUUACCUCGAAAACUACCUGAAACUGCUGACUUCAGGGAGGAAGAGAAAAUAAGGAGUAUCAAAAGGAGGAAAGAGGGAGGAAAGAGGGAGGAAAGAGAGAGGAAGGCCUUGUAAUGACAGCUGAGAACUGAAUUCCCUAAGAAAUUAUGCAGUUAAGUCGAGAUUUGUGAUUCAGUGUUAUUAUCACCAACCACCGUUCCCUUGGGGACCCCAGGCAUUUGCCAAGAUACAGGCUGAGCGCUCUGUCUGCCCCCCGCCCCAUAUAAAUGCCUGCUCUCAUCCCUGACAGAUACACAACAGUCAUAUAUGGAAAAUGUUUCUCAGAGAAGCAAGCUCUCUCCACAGAGAGGAUCCCUUGGGUAGCAAGGACGUGUCCAUAUUAAAUGUUUAUCUGUUUAAAUCGAUUAACAAGGCUCAUAUAAGGACUGCAAAUCAUGGGACAGGACAAGCCUCACACCAAAAGCCAUACAUACCCACAAAGAUGUUUCUUAGGAAGACAGAAUACAGCCACUGAGACACAGACAUAUGGAGUCAAUGUAUCUCAGUGAGUAAUUUGAAAGACAUGGUGGGAUAGUCAUGGAUAGCAAUGAUCAGAGAAAGUCACCAAGGUGGGCCAUCUAAUGAGAAAUAAAGACCUUCUUCACUCUAUGAGAUGUCCUCUACAACACAGACUCCCAAGUUACACAGUUGGGGCAGAUCUCUGAGCAUCUUUAUUCACUGAAAUCAGAGGGCUGUUUGCUGAUAAGGAUCACCAAGGGCUGAUAAAAAGGCAGAUGUCACCAAGCCUCUCUAUAAGCUUGCAGCCGGGUCCUACCACCUUGAUUGUAUCAACUCACCUGGUAACCUAGCAUUGGCGUGAUACAUAAACGCAUGAAUGUUUGUCUAUCACCCACUGCGUCACAAAUUGAAAGGGACAUCAUCAUCAAGGACAGCUUCAAUCACAGGCCCCAUGUUCCUCAAAAGCCAAGCACAUCUUAAACCUCAGGGAGAAGAAGUGACACUUUUCAGAAGGAUUUCCAACAAGAUUUAAAGAGCAGAC